UAAUGGGUUUUGGAUUCAGAUGUCAGCUGU
rnacentral:piRNA from 1 species